rnacentral:lncRNA from 1 species
CACAGGCAGAGGAGAGCAACCACUUCUUCUAAAUGAAUGUGGCCAAAAAAUAUUUGCUUGCAAAAAUUAAUGUAAAGAGAAAGCAGCAAUGGCUUCUUUAAAUUCAUUUAAAAAAUUUUUAUUUUUAUCACCUGGAGAAAAAUUCCAGAAGUGGUUAAGUCAUUCAUUGUUCCUAGAAUUUAGAAUUGCAACAUGAACUACAAUCGGAAUAUCUAGCUAUUGGUCUCAUUUCUAGGCUAUUCCUGGGUAGUAGCAUUCAUGCCGAUACUAUUCAUGCCAAGAAUAUCUAAAUAAUUCUUAGGAUUUUCUUUGUGUGUAUGUGGUACUGGGCGCUGAACCCAGAGACUCAUACAUGCUAGGCAAGCACUCCACCACUAAGCUAUCCCCAGUCCUUCUCAUUUUAUUUUUGAAAUGGGGACUCACUAAUUUGCCCAGAUUGGGCUUGAACUAGCUAUUCUGUCUCAGCCUCCCAAGUCACUGAGAUUGCAGGUGUGUACCACCAAAUCCAGUUAGAUAUUUUCUUUUUUAGCACUGCAAGCAGAACUAUAAUAGUAGACUGUGAUACUGGAAGGAAGAAAGGGAGUGAUUUAUUCCAUAUUUAGUAGUUUAGUAGUGACUUGGUUUUAUUCAGUAUUGUCUGAGUUUAAUUUAACACAAUGGUUAAUUAACAGUGUAUCAUUUAAUAUAAAUGAUUUUUAAGUGAACAAAGUCAUUCAUACCAGUCAGGUUGCUAUUGUUAUAUCUCCCAUUAUAGCCUCUUACAGGGGUUUUCAAACUUAGGUUCUGUGCUUCAGAGUGGUUGAAAUUACAGGGGAAGCUGUGCUUUCCCAGAAAAUACUCUACUGGUUUUAUUUCUGAUUACAAACAUCAAUGAAGAAUGGUGAGAAAUAUUCUGAUAUAGUGAGUCUCAGAUGACAGCCCAUUUUAUAUUGUCUAAUGUAUGUGAAUAGAUACAAUGUGUUCUCGUUAGAGUGGGAACAUAAUUAAUGUAUGUAUGAAAAGUUGAAGUUACUUGUCCAGAAGGAAAUUUAUCCAAAAAAAAAAAAUAACAAUUAUAAUAUUAUAACUUCACAGGUGCCAUACAUUGGUCUUGUGGAGAGGUCAGCACACUACAACCCUUGGGCCAAAUUCAGCCCACUGCUGGUUUUUGCAAACAAUAUUUUAUUGGAACAUAACCAUGCCCCUUUGUUCCCAUAGUGUCUAUACCUACUUGUCCUUUUGAGUGGUUUAGUGACAUACCAUCUCUCUUGUAAAUCCUAACCUGUGCAUGUUUUGGUGCCUCAUAGAAAAACUUUACCAAAAUCUGCUCUACUGUUUUAUGUGUCUCAACAAUUCGAAGGGAUGUUCUUUGUCCCCUCUUAGGAAAUUGAAGCACAGAGAGUUUAUUCAAUCUGCUCAAAAUCACACAGCACAUGCAUGGAAGAGCUGGGCUUCCCCUCUCUCAAUUGUCCUCCAGAGUUUGUGCCUCUUACUGCUCUGCUAUAUGGGUUGACGGCGAUUUAUUCCAUCAUUUAGGUUUUCAUCUUCUUGCUUGCUUUAAUUCCUAGUCUAGGUCUCUGACAAUACUUGUGCUUCCUUGUUUGGUUUAUAAAUAGAAUAGGGAGUUAAGAAGUGAGGAGGUCUAGACCAGGUGCAUCAAGUCCUAGCUUUGCUUAUAGGAUAAGGAACCAGUUAUGUGGGGAUAGGAUCACAGUUGAGGAUAAGUUGAAGUAGACUUUAUUUAUUGAUUCCUCCUAUAAAGACUGAAGCAAAAAAUAGGGCCCACUUCUUAUAUGAAGAGGCCAUGGUGUGGUGGAAAAAACAUGAGUAUAUUUGGGAGGAAGCUGUUCCAGAGGUUGCUGAGGGAGUAGUAAGAGCAUAAGAGGGUUACCCUAAAUCACAUAGGGGAGGGAAGAGGAUGAGACUCAGGGGUAUUCUUGGAAAAGAGAAUCCCUGAUAAGUAUUGGUUAGGAAAAAUAUUUAGGAGGGUCUUCAGAAUCAGAGUUUUGUGAAAAAGAGCAUACUGUGUAUUUUAGUGUAAUGUCUCUAAGGCUCUGAGAAGUUGGGGAGGAGACAAGGAAAGGGUUUAUAAAUGUCUUUGAAAAUCACGUUAUCAUGGUCAGUAGGUUCUAUUGCUCCUAUGUGUUGUGGGAAAGUAUGUGAGUGUAUCUAGUAUGUGUAAAUUGCUUUCAGAUUUCCAUUUUAGACCAUACAUUUUGAGGCCAAUGUAGCCGUUAUUCCUAUCAAAAUGCAGCAUUUGGAGCCCAGGUAUUAGAGUUGCCACGGGAUGCUCAUUUAAAUUGCAGAUCAUUUGGCCUCUGGCCACACCCUGCAUUAGACUCUUUGUGGAAUGAUGCCUACAAUCUGCAUUUAAAUGAAUGUCCCAGGUAAUUCUUGUAUACUCCACAAUUCCAGAACCAUCGAAGGAUGACUUUUAAAAAGAAACAGGAGAAAAAUUAAUCCAGACUAGGGUCUGAAGAGUGGUGCCUGGGCUGUGGAGGAGGGGCCAAUGGAAUUUAAAAGUGUUUUGAAAAUAAAGAUAGACAAGAGUUGGUGAUUAAUGAGAUGUGAGCUCUGGGUAGCAAAGGAAAAGGAAAUGUUCUUCUUUAUUAAAAACAUUCUGACUUAAGUUACUGGCAUGAGAUAGGGAAUUUUUUUCUCCUACCCCAAAGUACCUCUUCCUGCCUUAUCUCCUAGGUCAAUUCACAUAGUUGCUCAUUAACUUCCUUAGUGUUCAUUCUGGAAAUGAAACAUGACAGUUAGGUUGGAAAUGAGUCCCAGUUUACUUCCCUAGAAAUUCAAAACUAUGUACAGAAUAGUUGGUUGGAAUGUAUAAUUAUAUAAACUUGCAAUAAAGAGCCUGACACAUAAGAUAUGUAUAUUUUUGAAAUUGACUUGCCAAAUUUGAUGUGGAGCCUGGCAAGAAGGGAAAUUUAGCUCAAUUAAGGAGUCUGUCUGUGGGAGGAUUGGCCACCAGAGAGCUUAUGAUGAUCUGUUUAUAAACCAACAACAUAACGUUUCUCUUUUUUUUUCUAUGAGAAAAUUCGAUUUUGUUGAUUGUCUUUAUCAUCCCACACUUGUGUUGAUGAAGCCCUCCAAAUGGAAUCCUCAGACUUCACAAUAUCCCAAGCUCAUCUGUCAUAGAAAAUCCAAAAGUGGGAUAAGAGGUUCCUUCUAUAUAUUUGGAGGAUACCCAUUCAAAGAUACAGUUUGCUUUGGUUAUUCUCAGCAGCCCAGGAGAAGAGCACAAGGCCCUGUUGUGAUUCUAGCAAAGCCCGGAACAGCAGGAAUAUUGAAAAGAACAUGACAAAGGGAGGCAUCAGAAGAGGGUUCUGCCUCUGGUUCACUAUGUGACCUCAGCCCAGUAAGUGCCUGGGUGAUAAUAUUGAAUGAAACAUGAAUUUAGUCCUCUGGGAGCUUAUUCUUCUCCAGCAAAAAAAAAAAAAAUGCAGUCAGGGGACUUAGAAAGUUUGGCUUUAAAAAGGAAGUACUGCUGGAAAAGAAUCUUGAAGAAAAAGUUAGAUUUUCAAGUGUAGGAGGAGGUGGAGAGUCUGGUCCCGGCAGAAGCAUGACCAGAAGACAGAGAACAGUUUAUGUUGGACGCAUUCAAGGGUGUGUAGGAGGAAAUGAGGGGGUGCAGAGGAGUAGGAAGAAGAUCCUAGAGAGAUGUACAGGUUGUUAUUUGAAGAAUGCAUUUCAUUCUAGAGAAUGAAAUGAAGUAGAAGGCAAAGAAAUGAUUUGGGAGACAAGGGAUGUGGUAGAGAUAGGAAAGGCGCCUGAACUAGGAUUGUGGUCAUUAAAAUGUCCAGAAAGAGAAGCAGGACAAGAAGCAGUGGGGAUUUCUGGGAGAGGCUGUUGUUGAUGACAAUGUCCAUCCCAAUCCCUAUACUGUUGUUAUGUUUAUUUCUGAAUUUAGUUUUGAAAACUAAUUAUGUCUGUGUUGCUUCUCCCUGCAACCUAUUUUUUUUUCUUCUCUACAAUCAGAAUAACAAAAUUUCUGGUUGUGAAGGAUACAACUAAAGAGCUUACACUAUGUCUGACAUAGGCAGACAAGUUAGCUUACAAAUGUCAGUUUCCUGACAUCCCACCUCCAACCUAUUUACCCUGUCAGGAGAGAAGUUUUUAACAAGAAAUAUCAAAAUAAUCAUCCUAGCAAUAUCCUAGUCAACCAUCUUGGCUGAAUUGUUCUAGUCCAGAAUGGUGGUCAAAUUACCAACUAGAGAGUGUUAGACCCAUGCUUCCCAUGUCCUGCAAUGCACAUCUCAGUCUAGUGAGUAAGGACCUCACUCUUUACUGAACUGGGACUUGUGAAAGCUGGUCUAGAAUGUUUGACCAAAGGAAAUCAGGCUAUCUCCAUCUGCAACAGCUUCACUCCACAUUGAUAAUCUGAUUUGUUCUGUUGCAGAUGACAUAUUGAGUUGAAAGGGGCAUGGAUUGGUAAAAGCAGGCUUUUAUUUAUGACUGGCAGAACAGUGCAAAGGGGUGUCCUGAUAGGAAGGGUCAUCAGUUUAGAAAGCCAUGUUUACAUCUGAUGGUUUUGCCGUGAUAUCUGAGAGCCUUUCAGGGAUUUUUUUUUUUUCAGGCAAAAGCUAUAGUUCCAGUGAGGAAAGCAUUGGUUUUCAAUGCCCCAAUAUUCUCUUUCUUAACAGUUAGUGUGUAAGUCAUUGCCCAAGCCCACUGCAGGCUCCAGAUGUGGAUUCCAUGUAGGCAGAAACUGCAAUUCUUCCACUGAAUUCCUUCUUAAUACUCUUGGGGCAUCCUCCUUUUUAGAAAUCUUUGCAGAAUAUGUAGUCAAACCAGAGAAAUCUGAAUUCAUUUUUGGUAAAGAGGACAUUGGAAAAUCAUCAUCCCCAUGACUCAAUAGAAUGGCUUUUAUCUUUCUUUCUUUCUUUUUAACUUUAUUUGGAACUCCCAAACAGAAAUAAAAUAAGAAGCUUCUACCUUCAUUUUAAACUCUUAGGUAAAGAAAAAAGUCAUUAUGCCCUGCUAGAGGGAGAGCAGAAAUAGGAAUGUUAGAGGAUGGAAACUGAAUCACCUUAUAAAUUUUGAGUGGAUUGUAAACACAAAAUAGAUGAAUGGAAAGGGACUGCCAGGAGACUGUGAAAUGGUCCAAUUGGGAAAUGACUAAUGCAUGAACACAAAUCUUGGUGACAGGCAGGUUAGCGAUCUGUGAACUUUCUAAAGGUUAAAUGAACAAUAAUAGGAUUUUGUUAAUGCACAAAGUGAAUUGAAAGCACAAAAUACAUGACUCAAAUAUGCAAGUACCUUGAAUUGGGCAUAAUUCAAAAUAAUGAGGUCUGUUAAAAUAAUGACAUUUAGAGUAAAAGAGCAGUUAGUGAGAAUUUGCCUAAAAAGCCCCUGAGAGUUGCCCAAUGAUCUCAUUGUUAGCAGGAGAGAAAAUUCUUUUACUAUAAUAAAUUAGGCAUUUUUGAAAUGGGUUCCAGGUCAACUGCAAUUUCCUUAGGAUUCCCUGGCAACAAAAAGCCUCAGCCCUCUCCCAACACAGCAGCUUCAGUUCAAAUAAAGGUGUUCACCAGGCUUUAAGUCCACUAUCGCACUAUGUCCCUUAAAUGUUCGACAUAUUCCAUUCUUGGUUAUUCAAAAACUGGUUCUGUUUUAACUCCUAUUAAAAUUUUAGUUGAUUUUCACUGUGAUAGCACAUCUAACAGGUUCAUAAGAGAAAAAGUUAUGAACUUUUUUUUUGAAUUACAAAUAUAAUUUACAUUCCAUUUUCUAAAUGCAAAAGGCUUUGUGGGAAAAAGGCUGAGAUUAUGAGUAGACAUGAUACUGCCUCCGGAUGUCCCAGCUAGAGUCUCCUUGACUGCUGUCACCACUGGUGACCUCUCUUGAUUCUGAGGUGUGGGAAGAAUUUCAUCCCCAUUUUAAUGAAAGCAGCAAAUAAUUUACCUUUGCUUGAAUGAAUCUUGCAAACCCCAUGAGAUUAGUCAUUUUUCUUAAACCUUGUUGUAUGUAGUAAGAGAUGCCAUCAUCUAUACACAUUUUUUCCUGGUUUAAUAUAUUUGAACAACUCUUACAGAAUUUUUCAAACAUGUACAAAAAAAGAAUAAUAUAACCAAGUCUAAUGUAUCCAUGCCCCAAAUUCAAGAGUGACCAACUCAUAAACUAUAUUCUUUCACAUUUAUACUUACCUACUUUCUUCCCUCCCUAUCACUCUCCAUUAUUUUGAAGAGAAUAACAUCCUGCAAUAUCAUCACAGUAUUAUGAGUAUCUGCUUUGUGAGAACAAGAUUCUCCAAAGCACAAUCCCCUAAACUCAGUACUUCACAGUUAUUGUAAAAAUAAUAGAUUCUGAUUGUCAAAUACUUUGGGAAGAUGAUAUCAUCACUGCAUUUUGAAGAAUUGUUUUAUUCAUGAGCACAAGAAUGGUUCUGAGAAGUUUGCAAAUAGAAACUUACUUAAACCAGUAUCUUUCAAAUUGUAUCUAGAACUGUUUAUUUAUAGGAGAUUUUAUUUACAUCCUAUGGAAGAAAUAUUAAAGGACAUUAUUUAUAACAUUGAUCAAGUACUCACUAUGUGCAAGGUCUUCUGUUAAAUAUUUUCAUAUGGAUUUAAUUCUUAUAAUAAUCCUGUGAGAUGGGAUUUAUAUAUGAAUAUGUCACCCCAUUUUCAAAAGAGGGAAUUGAAGUUCAGAAAUAUAUGAUAACUUGGCAAGGUCACACAGUAGGAUUUACUCUAGGUCCAGGUGACCUGUAAACCAGAGUUCUUGACCACCACAAUAUGCAUUUAAAAGGGAUCUUAACAAUAGCUCAAGACUUGUGCAUCCUUUGCUGGUUCUAAUAUAGUCCUAAUUUCUUACAGUAAUGAGGGGAACAAAAGUAUAACAAACACAUUUGGUCAAAGUCAGUAGGCAAAGGAUUUCAUUUAAUCAUAUGUUUUUGUUUCCAUUGUGUGUUAUAUUUUUUGGAUUAUUCUUACCUCUAUUGUCUUAGAUAAAAUUUCCAAUGCCUUUGGAGAGGGGAGUAUGAAUAUUUCUUGUUCAGCAGUUAAGGCACAGAAAAUGUCUCACCCAAAGUUAAAAGUUUAUUACAGAACUGGAAUUAGAACUUAGAUAUUUAUGUCUAGGGAAAAUUUCUUUUUUUUCUUCUUUCUCUUCCUCUCUCUCUUUUCAUAGUACUGGGGAUUGAAUACAAGGACUAAGCUACAUCCUUAGCUGUUUUUGUUUUUUUGUGACAGGGUCUCAAUAAGUUGUUGAGGCUGGCUUUGAACUUGCAAUCUUUCUGCUUCAGCUUCCAACUCAGGAGAUUUCCUGAGUUGCUGGGAUUGUAGGUGUGUACCAUCACACCUGCCAGGGCAAUUUUCUUUUGACUACACAAUUAUAUUUCAUUGACAAAUAGGAUCUGCCCCUACUCUUGAUCUGCUCUCUUUGAUAUAAACUAGGGAUGUGGUGGAUCCUGUCUAACACAGAAUUACUUGACAAUGGUGAAUGCAUUGGUGGUAAUACUCUUCUCAAAAUAUUUUAGACAGGGUCUGGUGCUUUUGUUAGCAUCUACAUUAUAUUUUUCAUAUUUUAGGGUAGGAAGGGAGAAAUUGAAAGAUUUAGUUUUCUGAGGACAACCUAUGGACUAUCUUCACAUCCUUUUUACUCCUCUAGACCAUGGAAAAUGCACCCUGUUUUCAAAGCUCUGAUCUGAGUCCCAUCAGUGGUGGAAGAGCCUCUGUGGAACCACUGAAUGUUUCCUUUAUGGAGGUAUCUAUCCAUAGCUGAGAAUAGGGCAAAAUAGAAAAUGGCAAGGAUAGCUAUUUGCUAUCUUUCUCAAUUUUCCUAUCAAGGUCAAAGAACUGCUUCUAGAUGGCAUUGUAGGUAUAUUAUCCUCUGAGUACCAAAUCAUGCAAAAAAUUACAAAUAAUUAUACCAUCAUUUUCAAAUGUAUUAUGGGAAGUAGGACAGUUGUAUAAUAGCUACAGAAAAUUAAGCACUGGCAUUAUUAGAGCUUUUUCAAAUAAACUAAACACUUCUGAUUAACUAGGCAUUUAUUCUGGCUGAGACAGACUUGUGUAGAGAUAGGGAACACUUAGAUGUAAGACUGCUAAUAAUGAACAUUGUCACUUCAUUAAAGUAGGUCAAGGUAAGCAAAUGUGAUAGGUUUUUUCCACAUGCUAUAAUUACCAAGGGUAAUUCAGUAAAUUUUUGUCCUGUAUAUAUCUGGACCAUAAAAUUAUGUAAUAAACAAUCAUUCAUUGCAGGUGAUUAAAGAGAAAUGCCUCUGGAGAGAUUAAAAGAGGUACCGUGAUUCUACUGUUUAUUAUAUCCACUCUCAUAAUUAAGGAAAGUAUAAACUUAAAACUUACUAUUAAACAUGUGGAGGCCAUGGUAAAGUGAAGGGUGCAUUGAUGCUGGAAUCAAAUAAUUAGGGUUAGGGAAUCACUUCUUACCUUUGACAGUGGGUUCUUAGGAAAAUAUUUUGUCUCUUUGAGCUGUAGUUUGCUUAUUUGAAAAUGAGGAUAAUAGUAAAUAUUUAUUUUUUUUGGUGGGGUGAACAAAUUAUAUAUGGACUUGAAAAGUCCUAAUUUUAUUAAUAAUAGUGAUUUAAAAAACAAGGGCAAUAAAGGCAGAGUAGAAAGGCAUCAACCAAAGGCAAGAAUUCUUAUAGAGUUGUCAUCUCUGGAUGUGCAAACACGAGAUCUGCUCCUCUAAGACAGGACUGCCUCGGGCAGCCCUGUGACUUUACCAGGGAGAAGAAGAUCAGUCAGUCCAAGAGAUAGGAACCAGAGAAAGGCAGAAGAGCCAGUUACACACUAGAUGUCACCCCAAGAGAUGCAGUAAGUACUGACUUUGACAUCUGUGCCACCAACAGGAAAGAAAGGCGAAAUUCUCUCUGCCUUGGCUACCUGGUUUCUUAUUUCAAGUAUGCAUACUGGUAGUCAAUGGUCUUUGUAUUGUGAAAAAAUAAAUCUUGUUUGAACUGAUUGGGUUUAAAUUAGGUUGCAAUAAUCCAGAGUCAAAAACCACUUAUUUCAUGCUCCCCCAGGAAUCCUACUAACACCAAAUUUUGAAACCAAUGAAAGUUUUAAGCACUCACUUGCCAUGGGAAGUCAGUAAUCAUAUUCAUGGUUCCCUCCUGGAGGUACUGAGGCUCAGAGGCCUUCCCCAAAGACUUCCCAAAUGGCACAGAUGGUUAAGGAUGGAGUAGAGAUGACUUCAUCUCUCAGGGCUUUCCCACCUACUUCUUCUCCUGAAAGUUAAUCGGGUGUUUAGUAAAAUAUUCCAAGUAUGGCUGUUGCUCUAUAAUAAUAAUAUUACUAAGGAAAAAGGAGGCAGAAGUAGCAAGGGUAAGUGGAUAUAUCUGCAAUAUGUUGUGGGUAACUUUCAGAGGGAUUUUGGAGAUGUGGUUGAAAAAGAGACAGAGAAAGGCUGCAGUAAUUACUUCCUAUAUAGGAAGAUAGGGUAUAUAAUUUUUCCAAAUUAAAGAGAAUGCCUGCCUAGAGGUCCCAGGGGACACUGGAGAAGAGCAGGAGAAGGAUGCAGCUAAUAACUUGGUGGGGAGGUGAAAAAGUGAGUUAAAACAAAAAAGUCAGUUAAAGGUGAGUGAACGGACAAUGUGAGGAAUUUCCAUCAUAAGUUAGGUUAGAAGGGAGUAAGUGGAGGGUUUCCUGAACUUAGAAUAAGCUCUGGCAGUUCUGUCUCUGGAAACUACCCUUCCCUCCAGUUUAUCUGAGUAUUGUUAGCAUGAUAUGUGUCCUUCCAUAUAACUUCUUAUUUCCACAUGGGAGAGAAAAAUUAAAAAGAUGCAAAAUAUUGGAUAAAACCAAAGAAACUCAAAGUCUUUGAGACUUUUCAGCAGAAUCACAGACAACUAAAGCUACCUUCUUUGUGUUGAAUCUUAGUGUAGAAGAAUCUAGAUUGAAGGUUUGGGGUUAGAGUCUGGGGAAGGUCAAAAAAAGGUGCUAAAAGAAGCAUAUCUAGGAGAAUGUGUUUCUAGGAAAACAACCCUGUGCAGAAUCCCAGACGCAAGACAAUCAGAUUUCUUUCCUAAACCCAUCCCCAUUCCCUUAACAAAGAUUAACAGAGAAAUGUAUAUGGUGACAUAUCAAUCUUUGACUAUCAUGUAUCCUUAGUACAGCUCUUCUUACCAAAGUUUAUUUAACAUACAUCAUGGUGGCAUGGUUAUAUGAUGCAAAGCUUAAGAAAUCAAGCUACACAGUCUUCUGGAGCAUAGAAAGAGAAAACAAGAUAAAAGGCUGAUGACCAAGUAAAAUAAGUAGAUGAAGGAACCAAAGACUUAGUAUAUUUGUUAUGCGUGUGGUUUGCCUUCUCUGGGAUAAUGAGGGAGGAGUGCUUGGUGCAGAUUCCCAUUUGGACAAGCUGGGCCAGGACAGGAGUAGUUGACCACUUCUGGACAUGCUGCUCCUUCUGUCUUGUGAACAGAACACUGGGAAGGCCUGAAUGAAAGGUGAUUCUCUUAUGCAGAGGUGAAACUUCAAUCUAACCCAAUGAGAGAUUAUACCAGUAAUUCAGGGUUACUUUUUGUUUUCAUUCUUUUUUUUUUUUGGCUUAUUGGCAUGAAGCAUGCUAUCCAAAUUGUAUGACAACAAAUACUAUAAUAGUUAUACAAUCUAUCUGUCCACUUCAUGAGAGAAUUUGAGGAAAAAACUUCUAUCUAUCAUCUACCUACCUACAUAUGUAUUCAUCUAUCAAUUCAUCUAUUUAUAUUCAUAUUCAUGCAUGUAUGUAUGUAUAUAAAUCUUUAUAUACACAUGUGUUUGCAUGGAUACAAUAGGUCUAUCUUUCACCUAGACUUUUGGCUUUUGUCAAGAUAUGUGGUGAAUAAUAAUUGUGUUAUUUUUGGAGUUCUCUGAAACUGGAAAAUUGGGCAUUUUCUUGUGGUCAUUGUUCGUAUUUUAAAAGAAGUAGACUGCUUUUACACAUUUCUAGUGGGACACAAAACAGUUGGUUAUUCUAGUUAUUAAUUCAACUGGGUUCAGACACUACUUUUAGAACUCUCUCCUUCCCAUUGGGCUUUCAAUUAUAGGGUUUAUCUGGAGUUCCCUAAGGUAAAGCAUUAAAUCUGCUGCUCUGUAAAACAAAACAAAAAGCAACCAUCCAACCAUCUAACCAAGCGAUUCCCACCUCCACCCCAGUGUCCAUACAUGAUUCUGGUCUCAGAGAGUAUGGCUCAAGGGUUGGCAUGGUUAUAUGAUGCAAAGCUUAAUAUAACUCUGUUCUGCCUCUGUGAAUGGGUAUGAACAGCUGUUGAAUAGAUGCUGAAAUCAGUAAACAUGUUGUAUCUCAAAAAUGCAGUUCUCUUCAACAGAGCAGGUCCAGAUUUACCCUGUUACAGCUGUGUUAUGGACGGAGAGAGUCACAGUAAUGAUGAUGACUGUGGUAAAAAAAAAAUAUAUCUACUUAAAUUCUGAAAUCUCACUCCUGUUCACCAGGGCUUCACAGCUAAAUGGCAAGCUCCAGUACAUGUUUUGAAAUACUGAAAACAAUGUAGUGUUUAUUUGUAUUUAUGUUUUAAGCUUGAGAAAAUACAUGGUCAACGCCAACUUAAGUGUUGUUAUUGAAGUUUAACCACAAGUAUAUAAUAUGCAUGUGUUAAGUGCUCACUCUAUCUAGGUGAUUAAAAACUAGUGACCUAAGAUGGAAAGGAUAUCCCGAGCAAUGGGAAGAUGCAGAGUAGCAUAAGCUUUUCAUUUAUUGUGAUAGCAAUUGAUGCAUUUACUAUUGUAAAAAUGUCCUUCCCCCGUAGAUGGUUAGAAUUUUGAAUAUUAUCUGGGAAACUUCUAGAAGCAUAAUCUGUCAAGUCAACUUGUAUACAGUAUUUGUAAGUACUCUCUAUGAGAAUAUUCAGAAGAUGUUUUAGCAUUUGACUCAUUAGUUCUAGCCUAGUUGUGUGUCGAACUGAAGGACACAUUUGAGUACUGCGCUGGGGAAAAAAAAAUGGAUUAGUUCUUUUCAUCUCUGUCAGUUUCUCUUUACCCACACAUUUAAAAUAAUUUCUCUCUCUUUUCUUUUUAAGCCACAGCUGUGUUAUUCAAGUACUUUCUUUUUUCAAUAAAGAAAAUAUACUGCAU